UGCGCCAUCCUGUGUGGUUCAGGUCUGCAGCGUGCUGUUGUGACCACUUCACUCGGGUGACUGGCUCUCCGCCGUAGCAUGAGCUCCCGUCUCUAUCACCCCACUUAAACGUCAUUUCUUUUUGUGGCGGGAGCAGUCAGGUUUCCACCUCCUGGUGACCUCCCAGUUUACAACUCCAACUCGGGCAGUCUUGCUGACUGUCACUCUGCUGCGCCUGCUACCCCCGAACUCAUUCUCUGCCAGUUCCCCCCAUGUACCGGGAAACGGUGUCUCCCUGAUCCCUCUGGGACUGUCACUUUAGCAAAGAGCUGCUCAUGUCAGCACUGGGACCCACUGAGCUGCCAGGCCCGGUGUGUGUCCUAGACCUCCAUGCCCCCGGUCCCUGCUCCGACUCCCCUUGUCACUGCAUUCAUUCCAAGCUCUAGUUUACAGUCUGGCUGUGCUAAGUUCCUGGUGCAGUGCUGUACCCAUCCCACCCCCCUGCCCAGUCCCUGCUUUCUCACUUAACAUAGUGCCUUUGAAGGCAGUCCGUGUUGUGGAAAAGGAGGGCUUCUUCCUUCCUCAAGGUCAGUUGCUGCCCUGUGGUGUGUGUGUGUGUGUGUGUGUGUGUGUAUGCCUUCUGCACCCCCUCUCCUUUUUUCCUUUCCCCCCUGCCCCCACAGAUGGGGCAUGUGCUUUCAAUCGGUCCUGACCUGUGGGAAGGGCACUGCAGCUCCUGGGCCUGCUCCAUCCUGUGUAACUUUCUCUGCAGACACGGGGUUGCUGGUACACACUGUGUUUCUGAACUUAGAAGCUGCAGCCUCGGAGUCUCUUUGUGCGCAGAGACUUGUUACAGUGAUGUGUCCCUAGGAGUCAGGCACUGGAGAUCCCCAAGUCGCACUUUGCUGAGGUCACUCCCACUGUCUGCCUGGUAGGUGGACAAGAAGCACCACUGUCUCUGCCCACUUGUCCUCCACCUCCCACAGGACAGGGACUGUGGCCCUAGCACCCAGCACACUGAAAGCACUGGCAGCAGGUUCUGGAACCCUGGAGGGAAGGAAAGAGUGGAAUCUGGAGGGAGUGGGACCAGAGCAAGGCCUGAGACUUGUCUGGGGCAGUGCAGAGACUAGGCGUCCAAGCACGGGCCUUCCCGAAGCUUCUCUGCAAACACGGCAAGACAGAAGGCUAUCUGCAGAAGGGACAUGGAUGACGUCAGAUAUUCCAGGUUGGAAGCGUGGGCCCGUGAGGAGGUUCUCUCACAGAGGAGCCAUCACCCACGAGGAGGCUGAGACAGAGGGGCUGCUCCAAGCAAGGGAGAAGCCAUGGCAGAGUAGGGGAGUCUGCUCCCUGACAGGAUCCUGGAGCAAAGCCUCAGCCCACAGAUCUCCGAGGAGAAAGCAAGGCUGCUGUCCUCAAGAUUGCUCCCUGCUGAGGG